GCCUCCCGCCCGCACCGUGCCCUUUGCGUGACCGUGCCCCCGCCGCACCUUCCCUGUCCCACGCUUACCUUUCGGGCCCGGCCGCCGAGGGGCUGCCCCCCCCCGCUCCCGCCCCCCGCCCCGGCUCCGCCAUCCCCGCCGCAGGGGUGUCGCACGCCGCCGCGCCGGCACAGCCUCGGCUCUCGCCUUGCGCGCACUCGGCUGGCGCUGGCAGCCCCGCCGGGUUCAUGCGAGGACAGCGGCGGCUCCGCGCCGCGGCUCGUCUGGCUGCCAACGCCGCGGCGAGGCUGACGCUGCCGCGGCCGGGGGUGACUCACGGCGGCAGCCACCGGGUAGCGGAUCCGAGAGCCGAGCGGCGAGCGGGCACAUCGGGCCCCGCUCUUCGCCCCCUUCCCCGGGCACCGCGUGCCGCCCGUCGCACCCCUGCCCCCUCCCCGACCCCCUGCGCUUCUGCCAAGUGGAAUAAACGCCCGGGUUUCCGGCAAACAUUCACCCUUCCGACACCGAACGGGAGGCCGCCCCCCUCCCGGCCGGCACCCCUGUCGCAGGCGGGCCGGGGUCCGUCCCCGCGGCCGGCAGCGCUCCCGGCGGCACCCGCCCCCACCAUAUUAUCUUCAUUUACAGGAAUUUUCAUGGAAAGUGAGCCUGAGCCAUGGCAGAUAAAGACUUUAUGGAUAUUUUCCCCUAAGAGGACACUUCUAACAGAUCUUUGUUUCUCCAUGAUGUGCUUGCUAAAAGAAGUGAGAUAUCUGGAAAAAAAUUAG
ensembl:lncRNA